rnacentral:rRNA from 1 species
AGAGUUUGAUCCUGGCUCAGAAUCAACGCUGGCGGCGUGCCUCAGACAUGCAAGUCGAACGAUUAAACUUUCCUUCGGGAAAGAUAUAAAGUGGCGCACGGGUGAGUAACACGUAGGUAAUCUACCUUUGAGUGGGGAAUAACAAUCGGAAACGAUUGCUAAUACCGCAUAAUGCAGCGGCACCGCAAGGUGACAGUUGUUAAAGGAGCAAUCCGCUUAAAGAGGAGCCUGCGGCAGAUUAGCUAGUUGGUAAGGUAAUGGCUUACCAAGGCUACGAUCUGUAACCGACCUGAGAGGGUGGUCGGUCACACUGACACUGAAUAACGGGUCAGACUCCUACGGGAGGCAGCAGUCGGGAAUUUUGGGCAAUGGGCGAAAGCCUGACCCAGCAACGCCGCGUGAAGGAUGAAGUAUUUCGGUAUGUAAACUUCGAAAGAAUAGGAAGAAUAAAUGACGGUACUAUUUAUAAGGUCCGGCUAACUACGUGCCAGCAGCCGCGGUAAUACGUAGGGACCAAGCGUUGUUCGGAUUUACUGGGCGUAAAGGGCGCGUAGGCGGCAGUUCAAGUCAGUUGUGAAAUCUCCGAGCUUAACUCGGAACGGUCAACUGAUACUGUUUUGCUAGAGUGCAGAAGGGGCAAUCGGAAUUCUUGGUGUAGCGGUGAAAUGCAGAUAUCAAGAGGAACACCUGAGGUGAAGACGGGUUGCUGGGCUGACACUGNNNCUGAGGCGCGAAAGCUAGGGUAGCAAACGGGAUUAGAUACCCUAGUAGUCC